AGAAUCAACGCUGGCGGCGUGCCUAACACAUGCAAGUCGAACGAGAAAGUGGAGCAAUCCAUGAGUAAAGUGGCGCACGGGUGAGUAACACGUGACUAACCUACCCUUGAGUGGGGAAUAACCUAGGGAAACCUGGGCUAAUACCGCAUAACACCUACGGGUCAAAGGAGCAAUUCGCUUAAGGAGGGGGUCGCGGCAGAUUAGCUAGUUGGCGGGGUAAUGGCCCACAAGGCAGUGAUCUGUA
rnacentral:rRNA from 1 species